rfam:Vibrio cholerae magnesium transporter (mgtE) gene, partial cds; sensor kinase (vieS), response regulator (vieA), and response regulator (vieB) genes, complete cds; and collagenase (vcc) gene, partial cds.
ACAGCAUCUCGUUAGGCGAGGCUCCUGUACAAACAUAGGCCACUGAUCUCACGACAUCCAGAGAUGCCCAAGAUCAGGACAGUUUUCAUCGGAUUAAGGUGUUAACCCAAGUGGCUUUCGCGUGAGCGAAUACGUUGUGCAGUGCUGAAGCUGGGACUCGGGGAAUGAAGU